rnacentral:rRNA from 1 species
UUAACUGAAUCCAUAGGUUAAUGAGGCGAACCGGGGGAACUGAAACAUCUAAGUACCCCGAGGAAAAGAAAUCAACCGAGAUUCCCCCAGUAGCGGCGAGCGAACGGGGAGGAGCCCAGAGCCUGAAUCAGUGUGUGUGUUAGUGGAAGCGUCUGGAAAGGCGCGCGAUACAGGGUGACAGCCCCGUACACAAAAAUGCACAU